AAUGAACGUUGGCGGCGUGGAUUAGGCAUGCAAGUCGAGCGCGAACCCCGCAAGGGGUGAAAGCGGCGAAAGGGAGAGUAACGCGUGGGUAUUUACCCUCGGGACUGGGAUAGCUGCGGGAAACUGCAGGUAAUACCAGAUGAUGUCCCCGGACCAAAGGUGUGAUUCCGCCUGAGGAUAAGCCCGCGUCCUAUUAGCUAGCUGGUGAGGUAAUGGCUCACCAAGGCAAUGAUGGGUACUGGGUGUGAGAGCACGACCCAGCUCACUGGGACUGAGACACUGCCCAGACACCUACGGGUGGCUGCAGUCGAGAAUCUUCGGCAAUGGGCGCAAGCCUGACCGAGCGACGCCGCGUGUGGGAUGAAGGCCUUCGGGUUGUAAACCGCUGUCAGAGGGGAGGAAUGGGCGGAGGGUAAUCUCUUCGUUUUGACCUAUCCUCAGAGGAAGUACGGGCUAAGUUCGUACCAGCCGCCGCGGUAAAAC
rnacentral:rRNA from 1 species